rnacentral:rRNA from 1 species
UACGAAGGGGGCUAGCGUUGUUCGGAAUUACUGGGCGUAAAGCGCACGUAGGCGGACUGUUAAGUCAGGGGUGAAAUCCUGGAGCUCAACUCCAGAACUGCCUUUGAUACUGAUGGUCUCGAGUCCGGAAGAGGUGAGUGGAAUUCCGAGUGUAGAGGUGAAAUUCGUAGAUAUUCGGAGGAACACCAGUGGCGAAGGCGGCUCACUGGUCCGGUACUGACGCUGAGGUGCGAAAGCGUGGG